UAGCGAAAUUCCUUGUCGGGUAAGUUCCGACCUGCACGAAUGGCGUAAUGAUGGCCAGGCUGUCUCCACCCGAGACUCAGUGAAAUUGAACUCGCUGUGAAGAUGCAGUGUACCCGCGGCAAGACGGAAAGACCCCGUGAACCUUUACUAUAGCUUGACACUGAACAUUGAGCCUUGAUGUGUAGGAUAGGUGGGAGGCUUUGAAGUGUGGACGCCAGUCUGCAUGGAGCCGACCUUGAAAUACCACCCUUUAAUGUUUGAUGUUCUAACGUUGGCCCGUAAUCCGGGUUGCGGACAGUGUCUGGUGGGUAGUUUGACUGGGGCGGUCUCCUCCUAAAGAGUAACGGAGGAGCACGAAGGUUGGCUAAUCCUGGUCGGACAUCAGGAGGUUAGUGCAAUGGCAUAAGCCAGCUUGACUGCGAGCGUGACGGCGCGAGCAGGUGCGAAAGCAGGUCAUAGUGAUCCGGUGGUUCUGAAUGGAAGGGCCAUCGCUCAACGGAUAAAAGGUACUCCGGGGAUAACAGGCUGAUACCGCCCAAGAGUUCAUAUCGACGGCGGUGUUUGGCACCUCGAUGUCGGCUCAUCACAUCCUGGGGCUGAAGUAGGUCCCAAGGGUAUGGCUGUUCGCCAUUUAAAGUGGUACGCGAGCUGGGUUUAGAACGUCGUGAGACAGUUCGGUCCCUAUCUGCCGUGGGCGCUGGAGAACUGAGGGGGGCUGCUCCUAGUACGAGAGGACCGGAGUGGACGCAUCACUGGUGUUCGGGUUGUCAUGCCAAUGGCACUGCCCGGUAGCUAAAUGCGGAAGAGAUAAGUGCUGAAAGCAUCUAAGCACGAAACUUGCCCCGAGAUGAGUUCUCCCUGACUCCUUGAGGGUCCUGAAGGAACGUUGAAGACGACGACGUUGAUAGGCCGGGUGUGUAAGCGCAGCGAUGCGUUGAGCUAACCGGUACUAAUGAACCGUGAGGCUUAACCUU
rnacentral:rRNA from 1 species